CCUACGGGAGGCAGCAGUGGGGAAUAUUGGACAAUGGGCGAAAGCCUGAUCCAGCCAUGCCGCGUGUGUGAAGAAGGCCUUCGGGUUGUAAAGCACUUUCAGUGGGGAAGAAAGCCUUGGGGCUAAUACCCUCGAGGAAGGACAUCACCCACAGAAGAAGCACCGGCUAACUCCGUGCCAGCAGCCGCGGUAAUACGGAGGGUGCGAGCGUUAAUCGGAAUUACUGGGCGUAAAGCGCGCGUAGGCGGUCUGAUAAGCCGGUUGUGGAAGCCCCGGGCUCAACCUGGGAACGGCAUCCGGAACUGUCAGGCUAGAGUGCAGGAGAGGAAGGUAGAAUUCCCGGUGUAGCGGUGAAAUGCGUAGAGAUCGGGAGGAAUACCAGUGGCGAAGGCGGCCUUCUGGACUGACACUGACGCUGAGGUGCGAAAGCGUGGGUAGCAAACAGGAUUAGAUACCCUAGUAGUC
rnacentral:rRNA from 1 species